GCUACGGGGUGCAGCAGUGGGGAAUAUUGGACAAUGGGGGGAACCCUGAUCCAGCGACGCCGCGUGAGUGAAGAAGUAUUUCGGUAUGUAAAGCUCUAUCAGCAGGGAAGAAAGAAAUGACGGUACUUGACUAAGAAGCCCCGGCUAACUACGAGCCAGCAGCCGCGGUAAUACGUAGGGGGCAAGCGUUAUCCGGAUUUACUGGGUGUAAAGGGAGCGUAGACGGCGAUGCAAGUCUGAAGUGAAAGGCGGGGGCCCAACCCCCGGACUGCUUUGGAAACUGUAUGGCUGGAGUGCAGUAGAGGUAAGUUGAAUUCCUAGUGUAGCGGUGAGAUGCGUAGAUAUUAGGAGGAACACCAGUGGCGAAGGCGGCUUACUGGACUGUAACUGACGUUGAGGCUCGAAAGCGUGGGGAGCAAACAGGAUUAGAUACCCCAGUAGUC
rnacentral:rRNA from 1 species